GACGAACGCUGGCGGCGUGCUUAACACAUGCAAGUCGAACGAAGAGCGAUGGAAGCUUGCUUCUAUCAAUCUUAGUGGCGAACGGGUGAGUAACGCGUAAUCAACCUGCCCUUCAGAGGGGGACAACAGUUGGAAACGACUGCUAAUACCGCAUACGAUCUAAUCUCGGCAUCGAGGAUAGAUGAAAGGUGGCCUCUACAUGUAAGCUAUCACUGAAGGAGGGGAUUGCGUCUGAUUAGCUAGUUGGAGGGGUAACGGCCCACCAAGGCGAUGAUCAGUAGCCGGUCUGAGAGGAUGAACGGCCACAUUGGGACUGAGACACGGCCCAGACUCCUACGGGAGGCAGCAGUGGGGAAUCUUCCGCAAUGGACGAAAGUCUGGCGGAGCAACGCCGCGUGAGUGAUGACGGCCGUCGGGUUGUAAAGCUCUGUUAAUCGGGACGAAAGGCCUUCUUGCGAAUAGUGAGAAGGAUUGACGGUACCGGAAGAGAAAGCCACGGCUAACUACGUG
rnacentral:rRNA from 1 species